rnacentral:rRNA from 1 species
UGGGGAAUAUUGGACAAUGGGCGCAAGCCUGAUCCAGCCAUGCCGCGUGAGUGACGAAGGCCUUAGGGUUGUAAAGCUCUUUUUGGCGGGGAAGAUAAUGACGGUACCCGCAGAAUAAGCUCCGGCUAACUUCGUGCCAGCAGCCGCGGUAAUACGAAGGGAGCUAGCGUUGUUCGGAAUCACUGGGCGUAAAGCGCACGUAGGUGGGCAGUUAAGUCAGGGGUGAAAGCCCGAGGCUCAACCUCGGAAUUGCCUCUGAUACUGGCUGUCUAGAGUUCGAGAGAGGUGAGUGGAAUUCCUAGUGUAGAGGUGAAAUUCGUAGAUAUUAGGAAGAACACCGGUGGCGAAGGCGGCCCACUGGUCCGGUACUGACGCUGAGACGCGAAAGCGUGGGGAGCAAACAGGAUUAGAUACCCACGUAGUCCCUGAGCGGGCUGGCAAGGCGCAU